rnacentral:lncRNA from 1 species
UCACAAUCAUAGAGCUCGGCUUCAUAUGCAUUCCGUCACUGGGUAGCUUCUCCAAGGUUGCUUUUGGCAUGACGUUCAGGGAGGAUCCAUUAUCCACUAAGACACGUGCUAUCACAUGAUCCAGGCAUUUCACAGAGACAUGAAGGGCUUUGUUAUGACCUCUUCCUUCAACAGGUAUCUCUUCAUCAGUGAAGGUGAGGUAAUUAUUAGCAACGAUGUUGCCAACAAUGCCCUCGAACUUGUUCAGAGAAAUACCUUGCUCCACAUGAGCCUCACUGAGUAUCUUCAUCAAUAACUUUCGGUGGGAGGCAGAAUGCAUGAGUAAUUCUAGCAAGGAGAUCCGGGCAGGCAUGCGGUUCAA